UUGCAGGCUGCAACUCGCCUGCAUGAAGUCGGAAUUGCUAGUAAUCGCGGAUCAGCAUGCCGCGGUGAAUACGUUCCCGGGCCUUGUACACACCGCCCGUCACACCAUGGGAGUCGGUAACACCCGAAGCCGAUAGUCUAACGAAAGAGGACGUCGUCGAAGGUGGGAUUGAUGACUGGGGUGAAGUCGUAACAAGGUAAC
rnacentral:rRNA from 1 species